UACGGAGGGGGUUAGCGUUGUUCGGAAUUACUGGGCGUAAAGCGCGCGUAGGCGGAUUAGAAAGUUGGGGGAGAAAUCCCGGGGCUCAACCUCGGAACUGCCUCCAAAACUGCUAGUCUAGAGUUCGAGAGAGGUGAGUGGAAUUCCGAGUGUAGAGGUGAAAUUCGUAGAUAUUCGGAGGAACACCAGUGGCGAAGGCGGCUCACUGGCUCGAUACUGACGCUGAGGUGCGAAAGUGUGGGGAGCAAACAGG
rnacentral:rRNA from 1 species